rnacentral:lncRNA from 1 species
GCAGAGACCAUAUCAGAUUUCCCAAACCCCUUCCCUUCCAAAGAGAAACGACGCUUGCUUGUUCUUCUUGACUAAAAAUCACACGCCCACAUGGAUCCCUCUCACUCAUACAUGUUCCUCCCUUUCACACACAUUUAGGCCCUUAGUAAGAGUGUGAAAUUAGAGAGACCAGGUCUAAACUUCAAGGUUGCAAGGUCGGGUUCAAUCUCAACUUGUUUUACCUUUUUUAGGAAUAUUAGAAUUUGGUGAAGCUGUUGAGCUUGUUUUGAAUAUGGAAGAAGAAAUACACGGAUUCCCGCAUCUUUGAAUAUUAAUAUCUCAUACAAAAACUAAAGAGCUAGACUGUUUGAAGUUGCUACUGCCUCGUCUUCUCGUUUCUCUGGGAUUCUAAAGUUUGUGCCGGAUAUAUGUUGUUGUUGCUUCUAAUUGUUGCUUGUGCCGAGCUCUGUCCCCAUUCUCUUAGCCUUUUCAUGGCCGCUUAAGCAAUUUGUGAUUUCUAGUUUUGCGGACAAGUUUGUCGCCGGGCUAUCUUGUAAUCACCAUCUGGAAAAUUAAUCGAAAAAUCUCAUUCAAUCAAUGGUAUUUAACAAGACAUGCUGCGAAUGCUCGAAGAUAAGCGAUUCAAUACUUGUUCUAAAGCAGUAACUGGUCUAAACUUCAGCUAUCCAAGUAGAAUUGACUUAGAUUUCAGCAAUAACUUAUUAAGGUUUGGUUCAUUCUCUUCAUGUUUGGUUUAGCUUUGCAUUCGUGUGGUUUGUUCACCUCGUCUUGGUCGGAAAACUGCUGUAGAACUGAUGUCGCCAUUAUUUUUCUUGUUUUUGUCCUGUUGAUUCACUAUUUUUUCUGUUGAUCUUCCGUCAUUUGGUUUUCUAUUGCUGGUCUGCUCUUGUUAGGAUGCGUCUGCCGAUUUUCUAGUGUUCUCCAUUAGGUUGUGGAGAAUGUUUGAGUGCUGAUUCUAUGGACAUGAAACUUCUGAUCGAAUCGAGCUAUUUUUUGAACAUCAAAUCUGUUUUAUUUGUUUCUUUUCAUCGAAAAAAGGUUUAUAAAGUAAGCUAAUAUUUUUGUUUUUCUAACGGCUAAAUGAAGUUUUCCUUGUUUUCCCACUGGGAUCAAUCCGUAACUUUUUUUUGUUUCACACUUCUUCUGACUAGUAAUGUCUUAGUGAACUUGUCACCACUUUUAUCAUUUAAUGAAUUGGUAUACGAAAUCUAGUCAGCAACAAGUUUGUGCCAUCAAUCGCGUUUGAGGAACCUUAUCAAAGCAACUUCCUCUUAAUUUUGAUUGAAAUACAACUGUAAAUUUUCUUUGUUGGUUUUUCUCAAAACGAAGCUGAUGUUCUCUGAUUUCAUCACUUUUAAGAAUGGAAUCAUAUGCAGCUGCUUAUGUAAAUUUCCUUAAGGUGGUUCAUUUGAAAAUUGGACUUGGGGAUUAAACAAUUGUAGGAUUUUGUUGUUUAGUUCAUUGAACAUUAUUGAGAUGUGAUAAUAUUUAGAAUGGGUUAUAUAUAAACUAUUUGGAUUGAAUUUGAAUUGGAGUUAUAAAAAUCGUAAGCCUCUGACGUUUUUUGGAGUCAAUUUGAAUUCCUUAGCUAGAAAAGGUGUGGGUUUUGUUGUCAUUGAUUUAUUUGCGAGAACUAUUAUGCCUCUAAAAUUUUCUAGACUUGGUUGGACGAUAAUUAUGAAUAACUAUAGAAAAGCCUUUAGGCACGCGUUUAAGAGUACAAUUGUGAUUGUGUACACGUUCGCGUGACAUAAUUACAUAGCUAAAAAUCAAUUUUGGGUACGUGUUCGCACAACUUCGUACAAUUUUGUUUAUUAAUAAAAUGGGUGUUAAUGGGCCGUUAACUAAAAUUAGUUCAUAUAGCCCGAAGUGUACCAUCCAUCUUUUAGUCAUACAUGGACCUCGUAUAAAUUUCUUAUGACUUAGAUAUAAAAAUGACAAAUGUUCGUAGUUUGCUUUAGGCACGUUUAAUAUACUGUCGUGGUUGUGGACACGUUCGCGUGACAUGAUUGUGAUUUCCAAAAGCAUAAUCAGGGUAUGCAUUCUCGCAGUUUUGGCCAAAUUUUCUUAAUAAUAAUCAAGCAUUAUUAAUUGUGGACACGUUCGUGUGACAUAAUUUUUUGACACGUCAAACAAAUGGGUACACGUGCGCGUGACCCGUUUCAAGAUGAUCCUCUUAAUUUAAAAGCGGUAAAAGAAAAUGCAGAUAGGUUCUAAAAGUAGGUAAUAAGACAAUUUAAUAAGUCAAGUAUUAUCAAAGCGACCUUGCUAGAACCACGGAACUCGAGAGUUUCUGACACAUUCUCCCGGGUUAACAAAAUUUCUAACCCAAAUUUCUGUGUUCGCAGACCAUAAAUAGAGUCAAUCUUUCCUUGAUUCAGGAUUUAAACCUGUGACUUGGGACACCGUAAAUUAUCCCAAGUGGUAACUCUAAAUUUUUAAUAAAUAAUCAUGUUUCAAUUCCCACUUAAAUUGGAAAAACUCCCUUACAUACCCCUCCCAGGUGUGUUGUGAAAAAAGGAGGUGUGACACUGUGUACCGCAAUGAGGUUUAUAUCAGUAUAAGAUCCUUGUGAGUCUUUUAUAUGCUUUUAUUCUUUCUUGUUAGAAUGUUCUGUAGAUUAGUGAUUUAGAAAAUUUGUGCUAGUCUGACUUGUUUGAUAGUUCCCUUAUGUGUUUUUCCCUUCCCAUAUUUAUCCAUUUUUGUUGCAUGCUUCUUGGUUCUAGUUUGUGGGGUGACUUCCCAUUGGUAGUAGCUGAGAUUUGGUUAUUCGUGUGUUUUUUUAUGUGGUUUUCAUGGUUAUUGUAUCCAUGUUUUCCCUUCCCAUAUUUAUCCAUUUUUUCGUUGCAUGCUUCUUGAGUUCUAGUUUGUAGGGUGUGUGCCCCUUGGUAUUAGCUGAUAUUUGGUUAUUUGGGUAUUUUAUUUUGUUGUUUUCAUGGUUAAUGUAUCAUCGCUAGUGCUAUGGAGAUAUGAAAAGAGUUCCUAUUGAAUAUGAGGCUUACGACUGGUGCGGAUUUGAUCUCAGGCAAAUAUUGCUAUCAUAAAUAUUAUUGUGGGCCUAUGUGUGAUGUAUAAGGUUGUGUGGUUGUACCUUGUGUGUGAGGGCAUGAAUUGAAGCAGCUGGUUGAGACUGAUACCGGACAUGGAUUUAGAAUCGAUCUUUUGAAAAUGGAUGAAAGGUGAGAAUUCUGACUUGAAGGCUUAUUGGUAUUGCUAGAAAGGUUAAAUUUCAGUGGAGAUGGUGUGGUCAUGCUUAAGUGGAUUGGGGUGACGUGGGAUCACAUGCGGGUGUAUGUAGGAAGUGCGCACUCAGAGACUUGAGGAUUUCGAGGCAAAUCUUAUCUCAUUCGAGGACAAAUGAAUAUUUAAGUGUAGAAGAAUGGCACGACCCGGCCGGUCGUCAUAAGAAUUUACGCCCCGAUCCCCUAUUAACUGCUUUCCCUUAAGUCUAUUUCUGCUAAUUUGAUUUGCCGGUAUGUUCGGUUUUGAGUUUCGGAGAGUUUUGGGAUACAUAGUUCCUAAAUGAGAGCUUAAGCCUUUGAAGUUGCUCGUAGUUGGGACAACAUAAAGACAACCUCAGAAUGGAAAUGUUGUGGUUUCAUUAGCUCCGUUAGGUGAUUUCAUGGUUGGGUGUGUUCGGAAUGUGUUUUGGAGGACCGUAGCUAAUUUAGGCUUGAAAUGCCGAAGUUUGAAUUUUUGAAGUUUUCGGUCCGAUAGUGAGAUUUUGAUCUGAGGGUCGGAAUGGAAUUCCGGAAGUUGCAGCAACUCUGUCAUGUCAUUUGGGACGUGUGUGUAAAAUUUUGGGUCAUUCGGACGUGGUUAGGAGGUUUUUGACCGAAAGCGUGUUUUGAGAGAAUUUGAAGUUCUUAGGCUUAAAUCCUUGAAUAUUCCGAGUUUUCUACGUUGUUUUAGGUGGUUUAAGGAUUGGUACAAGUUCGAAUGAUGUUAUGAUAAUGUUCGUAGGUUUGCUUGAGGUCCCGGGGGCCUGGGAUGUGUUUCGGAUGCCCAAUGGGGCAAUUUGGACUUGUUUAAAAUUGCAGAAGUUCUUCAGUUGUUGCAGACCCCCUUUUCUUCUUUGCGAUCGCGUCCUCCUCCAUGCAUCCGCGAGGAGUAAUUUUGGAGGAGGACCAAUUUCUUUUUCGCGUUCGCAUUCAACCCUCCUGCAUUCGCGAAGCUUCAUCAUUUUCCUCCUUCACGUUCGCAGCCAGCCCUCGCGUUUGCGUAGUUCUAUUUGGCUUUGAGGGCUAUGCUUAUUCUUUUCUUCAUCACGUUCGCAGUACCUGGGUCACAUUCGCAUAGCUUUUCCAGCCCAAGCCUUCACAUUCGUAUAUUGUUCCUCGCAUUCACGAAGAGCAAUUUGGCAGCCUUCAUUUUUCCUUUUUCGCGAAUGCAUGACUCCCUUCGCGUUCAAUAUGCAUUAAAAGUCUGGGCAGAUAUAAAUAUUUCGAAUCAAGGGCUUAGCCAUUUUUACCAAAACUCAAGCUUGGGAGCUAGUAUUUGAGGGAGAUUUCGAGAGUUUUUUAGGGACAAUGAUUGCGUAACGAUUCUAAAUUCCUUAUUGCUUUUAACUCACUAAUCUAAUCAUGAAUUCAUCCUUUAAUUUUUGAUUUUGAAUGAAAAGUUGUUGAAAACUUCAUAGACCAAAUUAUUGAGUUUUAAGUAGGUGUUUGACCUCCCAUUUGAGAGAUUUUUAUAUGGUUGGACUCGUGAGAGUAUGAGGGUUCUGAAAAUGAUAAUUUCAUUCGAUUCUGAGAUGUCGGCCUGAACGGUGCUUUGGUCAUUUUGCAUAAUCUCGCGUCUUAGCUUUGAAUUAAAUAGUAGAAUCAGUUGGUUGAGAUGUUAUUUAAGAUAUAUAAUUGAAUUGAAUAGAUUUGGGCCAUUUGGUGUCGGAUACUCGUGGCAAAAAUAUGGGUUUUAGUUUAUUUUGAGCUAGUUCGAGGUAAUUAUCUUGCCUAACCUUGUGUGGGGCACUUCCCCUUAGGAUUCGAGUCUUCUCUUAUGAUUGUAUUCCGUGUGCACGAGGUGACGAGUACGUGCUCGGAUUUACUUAUGGGAAAUUGGCCUUUCUAGGUUCUUAUGUACAUAUAUGCACUAAGUAUGAAGUUGUUCUUGAUAUGAUUGAAUUUUUCUUUUGCUAGUUCCUUAUCUACAAGUUUUAUUUGGAAUUAACUGCCUUGUGGCUCAUUCUUGUUGCCUAAUUGACUCUUAUCUUACUUAACUGAAGAUCUUUACCUCCUCCAUUGUCAUGUUAUCUUUCUUAACUGCUUGUUUUAUUGGAAAUCAUUAUUAUCUCUCAGGUAAUUAUUUAGUCUUAUUGAAAUUGUCGUAUAUCCUUCGUAACCUGCCCAAUCUCAAAAGAGAGUAGAUAUUCCAUGUGAAAUUGAUAUUUCCUUAUUUGAAAUUAUUUGACUCUUGUUAACUCCCUUGUUGUUGAACUACAUGCUAUGGGGUCGUUGUAUCAUAUUAUCUUUCUCCCUUAUUGAGUUGUUCUUAUUACGUUUAGUAUUUUCUAUUGUGGUUUUCCUUGUGAGCUAGUCUUACCACCCCCGUGAACGAACGAUUUUUAGUUAAUUCACUUGUUGUGCUCUUGUAUAUAUUGUAUUUGUUGCUGUUGCACUUGAUAUUGUUAAUGCACGAGGUUUCUGCCGUGCGGUUAUUGAUAUUGUGAUACACGAGGUCUCUGCCGUGCAACUAUUGAUAAUACGAUGCCGAGGUCUCUGCCGUACGAUUAUUGAUAUUAUGAUGCAUGAGGUCUAUGCCAUGCGGUUAUUGAUAUUGUUGGUGCACGAGGUUUCUGCCAUGCAAUUAUUGAUAUUGUGAUGCACAAGGUUCUUGCCGUGCAGUUAUUGAUAUUGUGAUGCUCAAGGUUUCUGCCAUACGGUUGAUGAUACUAUGAUGCAUGAGGUUUCUGCCAUGCAAUUUUGGUUGAGGGGUUGCACAAGGUCUUUGCGGUGCUACUGUUGCUAUUGAUAUAUUGCACACGCGGCUAAUAAGGCGGGAAUUAUUUAUAUGCUUAAAUGUGGGUUGCACAUGUGGCGAAAUAAGGUGGGAAUAUUAUGAUACACGUGGAGAAAUAAGGUGGUACUUUUUAUGUUGUUAAUUGCACACAUGGAGACAUUUCUAUUUUUGUUUAAUAUUUUGAUUAUGGUUGCUUUCUUGUAUGAGCUUUAUUAUGUGAAUGUGUUGAGGAAACAUUGUGCGUGUUGCCCGCUCUUUUUCGUUUCUUUAUCAGCUGGUAGAAAUCUUGUUAAAGCACUCACACAAGCAUACACGUAGUUGAAACAUUCCUAUUGGAGGUGAAGUUCCCAUGAUUUGCUAAGUAUAGGGGCAUGUCCUUGUUUAAUCAUUUUAUAUGUGAAAGUGGCCCUAGUUAGCCAGUUAAUUGCCAGUAUGACCAUAAGGUUGAUGGAGGCACAUGAUGCCAAACGUAGAUUUCGUAUGCUGGUACUCGAGAGUUGUGAUUUGACCGAGAUUUGGAAAAUUUGUAAAAAUUGUUAAAUUAUAGCUGAUGUGGACACAACCAUAGGACCCGAGUUAUUGUUGUGUUUCCUUUCUGUAUUGUGAUCUUAGGGUUUGGAUUGUAUUUUGUCGUGGUUAUGUGUCAUCAUUCUUUAUGUUCUCGUGUUACUCGUUGUUUCUUACCUCAUUGUGAUUGUAGCAUUGUUGGUCUUUUCGUACAGUCUUCGCAUACAUUUAUAUAUCAUGUUCCGUUAUUCCUAUAAUUAUACUGUUUAUUUGACCGGUAGGUGUCUUGAUUGUUCCUCAUCACUACUCCUCUGAGAUUGGUCUUGAUACUUAUUGGGCACCGUUGUGGUGUGCUCAUACUACUCUUUUGCACAUUUUUGGUGUGCAGAUACAGGUACUCCAACUCAGUUCUAUCAGUCUUGGAAAGAGGCGUUUCUGUAGAGAAUUUGAGGUAUAUCUGCUACGUCUGCAGGCCGAGGAGUCCCUUUUCAUGUUUCUAUAAAAAGUAUAGCCCUUUCAGUAUUUUCUUUGUUUAGACAUUCUUGAGUUAGAG